UACGAAGGGGGCUAGCGUUGCUCGGAAUCACUGGGCGUAAAGGGCGCGUAGGCGGCGUUUUUAAGUCGGGGGUGAAAGCCUGUGGCUCAACCACAGAAUGGCCUUCGAUACUGGGACGCUUGAGUAUGGUAGAGGUUGGUGGAACUGCGAGUGUAGAGGUGAAAUUCGUAGAUAUUCGCAAGAACACCAGUGGCGAAGGCGGCUCACUGGCCCGGUACUGACGCUGAGGUGCGAAAGCGUGGGGAGCAAACAGG
rnacentral:rRNA from 1 species